rnacentral:rRNA from 1 species
UUCCACUGUGGUGGCGACAGGUCAUUCAACAUUCUGCCCUAUCAGCUUUCGAUGGUUGUGUAGUGGACAACCAUGGCCAUAACGGGUAACGGGGAAUCAGGGUUCGAUUCCGGAGAAGGAGCUUGAGAAUUGGCUACUACAUCUAAGGAAGGCAGCAGGCGCGCAAAUUACCCAAUCCCGAUUCGGGGAGGUAGUGACAAAAAAUAACAAUACCGGGCCUUUUUGGGCUUGGUAAUUGGAAUGAGGGAGAGUUAAACGGACCAUCGAGUAUCCAUUGGAGGGCAAGUCUGGUGCCAGCAGCUGCGGUAAUACCAGCUCCAAUAGCGUAUAUUAAAGUUGUUGCAGUUAAAAAGCUCGUAGUUGGACUUGUGUGCGCUGUCCGCGGGUGGCCUGCGCCCAAAAGGGCGUUUCGGUUCGGCCCCGGUGGCGCCUUGAAAUCUGCAGCCGGGGGGACGUUGGCCUCAACUGGUCGGCGACCGCACGCCGGCUGCUCGGUUACUGUGAGAAAAUUAGAGUGUUCAAGGCAGGCAUUGGGUGCAAUUGAAUACAUUAGCAUGGAAUAAUAAAAUAUGGCUCCUGCCGUAUUUUGUUGGUUUUGACUGGUGGGAGUAAUGAUUGAUAGGGACGGUUGGGGGUGCUAGUAUUGAGCGGCCGGAGGUGAAAUUCAUGGAUUCGCUCAAGACUAACUUAUGCGAAAGCAUUCACCAAGGACGUCCUCUUUAAUCAAGAACGAAAGUUGGGGGAUCGAAGACGAUCAGAUACCGUCGUAGUCUCAACCAUAAACUAUGUCGACUUGGGAUCGGCGGUAGUUUUUUCAUUAAGACACUGUCGGGACCACGGGAGAAAUCAAAGUGUCUGGACUCUGGGGGAAGUAUGGUCGCAAGGCUGAAACUUGAAGGAAUUGACGGAAGGGCACCACCAGGAGUGGAGCCUGCGGCUUAAUUUGACCCAACACGGGGAAACUUACCAGGUCCAGAGAUGUAGAGGAUUGACAGAUUGAAGCUCUUUCUUGAUCACUUCGGUGGUGGUGCAUGGCCGUUCUUAGUUGGUGGAGUGAUUUGUCUGGUUAAUUCCGUUAACGAUCGAGACCUCAGCCUGCUAGUGUAGUCGGCUGGAUUGCCUUUGGCGAUCCGUGAUUUCGACUUCUUAGAGGGACAAUCGACGCGCAGUCGAUGGAAGUUUGAGGCAAUAACAGGUCUGUGAUGCCCUUAGAUGUUCUGGGCCGCACGCGCGCUACACUGCUGGGCUCAGCGAGUUUUACUUGGCCGAGAGGCCCGGUUAAUCUUGUGAAAUCCCAGCGUGCUUGGGCUCGCCUCCUGCAACUGGAGACGCCAACGAGGAAUUCCUAGUAGACGCAGGUCAUCAACCUGCAUCGAUUACGUCCCUGCCCUUUGUACACACCGCCCGUCGUUCCAUAAGAGUGAGGCAUCCGGUGAAUUCUCGGGAGAGCCUGGGCGUGGCCAGCAAUGGUCUGCUCGGGUUUGAACUUGCAUAAACUUGGUGCCUAUGAUUAGGGAAAAGUCGUAACAAGGUU